rnacentral:rRNA from 1 species
GACGUAGGGGGCCAGCGUUGUUCGGAAUUACUGGGUGUAAAGGGUUCGUAGGCGGUGCGGCGAGUCGGGAGUGAAAUCUCUGGGCUUAACCCAGAGGCUGCUUCCGAAACUGCUGUGCUUGAGUGUGGGAGAGGCGCGUGGAAUUGCAGGUGUAGCGGUGAAAUGCGUAGAUAUCUGCAGGAACACCCGUGGCGAAAGCGGCGCGCUGGACCACUACUGACGCUGAGGAACGAAAGCUAGGGGAGCAAACAGG